rnacentral:rRNA from 1 species
UCAGGAUGAACGCUGGCGGCGUGCCUAAUACAUGCAAGUCGAGCGAACGGACGAGAAGCUUGCUUCUCUGAUGUUAGCGGCGNACGGGUGAGUAACACGUGGAUAACCUACCUAUAAGACUGGGAUAACUUCGGGAAACCGGAGCUAAUACCGGAUAAUAUUUUGAACCGCAUGGUUCAAAAGUGAAAGACGGUCUUGCUGUCACUUAUAGAUGGAUCCGCGCUGCAUUAGCUAGUUGGUAAGGUAACGGCUUACCAAGGCAACGAUGCAUAGCCGACCUGAGAGGGUGAUCGGCCACACUGGAACUGAGACACGGUCCAGACUCCUACGGGAGGCAGCAGUAGGGAAUCUUCCGCAAUGGGCGAAAGCCUGACGGAGCAACGCCGCGUGAGUGAUGAAGGUCUUCGGAUCGUAAAACUCUGUUAUUAGGGAAGAACAUAUGUGUAAGUAACUGUGCACAUCUUGACGGUACCUAAUCAGAAAGCCACGGCUAACUACGC